CAGCUAUGGAGUGUAGACACAAACGGGCAGCAGAUUCGCAGUGGAGAAAAAAAACUUGGCAAACAAGCCCAGAGAGUGUCACCUUCUGCCCGAGCACGACAGAGGCGGCCGCCUGGGACCCGAGCAUAGUGUUUGAAGAAUAUGGUCGUGUCUCAUCUGCUUCUUCAGCUCUUCUGCACAUCCGCCGAUGGUUCACGUUCUGUUGGACAAUAUGCCAUUGAAUUCAAAACCUUAUCCUCUGAACUAUCCUGGAAUGAAGAUGCUCUCAUUGCUACCUUCUGGGAAUGCCUUACGGGCAAAACCAAGGAUGAGCUUGCAGGAAGAGAGAUUCCAUCUGACAUGGAUGCCUUACUGUCUCUGGCUACUAGAAUCCACAUACGUCUGUCUGAAAGAUCCCGUAAAUCCCUCAGAGAGAAGUAGUCUUCUCCUAGAGCACCCAAGCCCUAGGUGGCUCCACCUCCUGUGUCUGCUGAUUCUGAAUCCAUGCAGAUGAAACAUCUUAGGCUGUCGGUUGAGAAAAGACGGCAUCGUCUCUCUGCUAGUCUUUGCCUACACUGCGGAGGUUCUGGUCAUCGUGUACAUAGGAAGUCACGAAACGCCAGUGCCUAGAGUCAUUAGGAGAGAUGAUCCUAGGGAAGAUUUCUCUGUUCUACUGUUGUUUGGUGAUGCUAGGUUUUCUGUGACGGUCUCCAUUGACUCUGGUUCAGCAGGAAACUUCCUGCAUCAGGCGGUGGUGGAUCAUUAUUGUAUCCCAGUUCGACUACGCCAGAAUCCCCCAGUGAGGACGUCAGUCAAGUGCAAAGCCCUAUCCAAAUCUGUGUGAUAUUUCAUUGAGCCUCUGGAUCUUCAAGUUGGAGUUCUACAUUCUGAGAUUUCCCUGGAACUGUCUCACCCUGUCCUGUUGAGACUUCCCUGGAUAUGAGUCCAUGAACCCGUUCUGGAUUGGAAAUCAGGAGAGAUAAUCCGCUGGGGAAAGCUGUGCCAGAGCAAGUGCCUGACCUCUGUACAGCCCCAACCUCCUACAAAGGCCUACCUACCGCAUACCAUUGUUUUGCAGAUGUUUUCAAUUUAAAAAAAAGCUGAGACUCUUCCUCCUCAUCGUCAAUACGGUUGCCCCCAUUGAUCUGUUGCCUGGAUCUACUCCUCCUCAUGGUAGGGUGCAUCCCCUCUCACCCACAGAAUCUCAAGCGAUGGCUGACUACAUAAAGGAGAAUCUUGAAAGGGGGUUCAUUUGCUAGUCCAUAUCUCCAGCUAGGGCUGGCUUCUUUUUUGCAAAAAAGAAAAAUGGAUCCCUUCGUCAUUGCAUUGAUUAUCAUGGACUAUACAAAAUCACUGUUAAAAUUAAAUCCCCUUUGACUUUGAGUUCUGUUUUUUUUUUUAUAAAUUCAGGGUUGCCAGAAUAUUCUCAAACUAUCGUCAAACUACAGUAGACUAUUGUA